rfam:Desulfotomaculum acetoxidans DSM 771, complete genome.
GGAAUCCCACUAGAAAAGGUUUAGCCAAUCAUUCUAUAGCGAGUCUUGGGAAGCACGGGGCGACCCGUGUUUCUAAGUGUAGACAGCAAACUAGUGCACGAUGGCGCAAAUACAUGCACACCAAUAACAACCAAUUAAGUAUUAUGCAGCCAAGAGUUUAUUUGCAUAUGUCCAGCAAAAUGGUUUAGCCAAAUACUG